rnacentral:rRNA from 1 species
AUAGAACGCUGGCGGCAGGCCUAACACAUGCAAGUCGAGCGAGUGGCGGACGGGUGUGUAAUGACUGGGAAACUGCCUGAUGGAGGGGGGUAGCUACUGGACAGGGUAGCUAAUACCACAUACCAUCGGAUGUGCCCAGAGGGGAUUAGCUAGUAGGUGGGGUAAAGGCUCCCCUAGGCGACGAUCCCUAGCUGGUCUGUGAGGAUGACCAGCCACACUGGAACUGAGACACGGUCCAGACGCCUACGGGAGGCAGCAGUGGGGAAUAUUGCACAAGGGGCGCAAGCCUGAUGCAGCCAUGCCGCGUGUAUGAAGAAGGCCUUCGGGUUGUAAAGUACUUUCAGCGGGGAGGCGUUACCCGCAGAAGAAGCACCGGCUAACUCCGUGCCAGCAGCCGCGGUAAUAC